UACGGGGGGGGCAAGCGUUGUUCGGAAUUACUGGGCGUAAAGGGCUCGUAGGCGGCCAACUAAGUCAGACGUGAAAUCCCUCGGCUUAACCGGGGAACUGCGUCUGAUACUGGAUGGCUUGAGAUUGGGAGAGGGAUGCGGAAUUCCAGGUGUAGCGGUGAAAUGCGUAGAUAUCUGGAGGAACACCGGUGGCGAAGGCGGUUCUCUGGGCCUGUACUGACGCUGAGGAGCGAAAGCCAGGGGAGCAAACGGG
rnacentral:rRNA from 1 species